GAUUAUGAUGUAUUCCUGUUCAUGGGCACUAGAGGAGGUUAGCAGAGCUAGAGGUGGACUGAGCCCUCUCCCAGGCUUGUCCAAACAGCUCUCCUGAAAGCACUCAUGCUUUAUGAACUGAUCCCAAUGAUUUUUCCAGGAUCAUUUAUAUUGGUCUCUUGUCUAGGAACAUGAUUGCAGAGAUUAGGUUUUCAAAGCAAUCCAUUGGAUACCUGAA
rnacentral:lncRNA from 1 species